rnacentral:rRNA from 1 species
UGGAUCCAGACUUUGAUUAUGGCUCAGGAUAAACGCUGGCGGCGCACAUAAGACAUGCAAGUCGAACGGACUUAACCCUUUGUUUACAUUGGGAGCGGUUAGUGGCGGACUGGUGAGUAACACGUAAGCAACCUGCCUAUCAGAGGGGAAUAACAGUGAGAAAUCAUUGCUAAUACCGCAUAUGCUAACAGUAUCGCAUGAUACAGUUAGGAAAGGAGCAAUCCGCUGAUAGAUGGGCUUGCGCCUGAUUAGCUAGUUGGUGGGGCAAUGGCCUACCUAGGCGACGAUCAGUAGCCGGACUGAGAGGUUGAACGGCCACAUUGGGACUGAGAUACGGCCCAGACUCCUACGGGAGGCAGCAGUCGGGAAUAUUGCGCAAUGGAGGAAACUCUGACGCAGUGACGCCGCGUAUAGGAAGAAGGUUUUCGGAUUGUAAACUAUUGUCGUUAGGGAAGAUACAAGACAGUACCUAAGGAGGAAGCCCCGGCUAACUAUGUGCCAGCAGCCGCGGUAAUACAUAGGGGGCAAGCGUUAUCCGGAUUUAUUGGGUGUAAAGGGUGCGUAGACGGAGGAACAAGUUGGUUGUGAAAUCCCUCGGCUCAACUGAGGAACUGCAACCAGAACUAUUUCCCUUGAGUGUCGGAGAGGAAAGUGGAAUUCCUAGUGUAGCGGUGAAAUGCGUAGAUAUUAGGAGGAACACCGGUGGCGAAGGCGACUUUCUGGACGAUAACUGACGUUGAGGCACGAAAGUGUGGGGAGCAAACAGGAUUAGAUACCCUGGUAGUCCACACUGUAAACGAUGGAUACUAGGUGUAGGGUGUAUUAGGCAUUCUGUGCCGCCGCUAACGCAUUAAGUAUCCCACCUGGGGAGUACGACCGCAAGGUUGCAACUCAAAUGAAUUGACGGA